AUGCCUUUCCAGAAUAGGAAUUAUGUGUUAGAAACGGUUCUAUCUGUCAGGUAUCAUCACACUCUUGCUAAGCUCAAUCAGUUUUAUAAACAAUGCAGUAAGAAACACUGGGCAGGAGCAGGUGAUCGUAACACUAAUUUUUUUCAUCAAGCAGUUGUUAAGCGCAGGAAGCAUAACACUAUUUGUUCCAUUAAGGAUGAAAAUAAUAUGAUUCAUUUUAAGCCCACUGCUAUCACCAACACUUUUGUCAAUUAUUUUCGUAAUGCUCAUAAUCCUUUUACAUCCUCACAAUGGCCAAAUGAUUCUUUGGACCCAACUUACCUUCUGCCAGAUAAGCAUGAGAUCUUGCAGAUUCUAAUGGACAUGAAGUUAAAUGCUUCUCCAGGGCCGGAUGGUUUUAAUGUAGAAUUUUAUUUGGCUGCUUGGGACUGGAUAGGUGAUGAGGUAACUCAGCUUGUCGUUAAUUUCUAUCUUUCUGGUAUUUUGCCUCCUCAUAUUAAUGAUACUAAUAUUGCU
rnacentral:rRNA from 1 species